rnacentral:rRNA from 1 species
GAUGAACGCUGGCGGCGUGCUUAACACAUGCAAGUCGAACGGUGAAGCCCAGCUUGCUGGGUGGGUCAGUGGCGAACGGGUGAGUAACACGUGAGCAAUCUGCCCCUGACUCUGGGAUAAGCGCUGGAAACGGCGUCUAAUACUGGAUACGAACCGUGGAGGCAUCUUCAACGGUUGGAAAGAUUUUUUGGUCAGGGAUGAGCUCGCGGCCUAUCAGCUUGUUGGUGAGGUAAUGGCUCACCAAGGCGUCGACGGGUACUCCGGCCUGAGAGGGUGACCGGCCACACUGGGACUGAGACACGGCCCAGACUCCUACGGGAGGCAGCAGUGGGGAAUAUUGCACAAUGGGCGAAAGCCCUGAUGCAGCAACGCCGCGUGAGGGAUGACGGCCUUUCGGGUUGUAAA